rnacentral:rRNA from 1 species
CCUACGGGUGGCAGCAGUGAGGAAUAUUGGUCAAUGGGCGCGAGCCUGAACCAGCCAAGUAGCGUGAAGGAUGACUGCCCUACGGGUUGUAAACUUCUUUUAUAAAGGAAUAAAGUGAGGCACGUGUGCCUUUUUGUAUGUACUUUAUGAAUAAGGAUCGGCUAACUCCGUGCCAGCAGCCGCGGUAAUACGGAGGAUCCGAGCGUUAUCCGGAGUUAUUGGGUUUAAAGGGAGCGUAGAGGGGUUGUUAAGUCAGUUGUGAAAGUUUGCGGCUCAAACGUAAAAUAGCAAUUGAUACUGGCAGUCUUGAGUACAGUUGAGGUAGGCGGAAUUCGUGGUGUAGCGGGGAAAUGCUUAGAUAUCACGAAGAACGCCGAUUGCGAAGGCAGCUUACUAAGCUGCCACUGACAUUGAUGCUCGAAAGUGUGGGUAGCAAACAGGAUUAGAUACCCUGGUAGUC